rnacentral:rRNA from 1 species
CAGCCCGCGGUAAUACCGGCGGCCCGAGUGGCGGUCCCUAUUAUUGGGCUUAAAGCGUCCGUAGCCGGGUUGGGAAGUCCUCCGGGAAAUCUGGCCGCUUAACGGUCAGAAUGCCGGAGGAUACUCCCAGCCUAGGGAGCGGGAGAGGCCGAGGGUAUUCCCGGGGUAGGGGUGAAAUCCUAUAAUCCCGGGAGGACCACCUGUGGCGAAGGCGCUCGGCUGGAACGCGUCCGACGGUGAGGGACGAAGGCCAGGGGAGCAAACCGGAUUAGAUACCCGGGUAGUCCUGGCUGUAAACGAUGCGGACUUUGUGUCGGACAAGCUAUGAGCUUGUCCGGUGCCGGAGGGAAACCGUUAAGUCCGCCGCCUGGGGAGUACGGCCGCAAGGCUGAAACUUAAAGGAAUUGGCGGG